rnacentral:misc_RNA from 1 species
UCCAAGCAGCUGGCACGGCGACGUAACGCGCGCGCACAUUUACCCCGUUAUACUAGUAACCGUACUGCUCGGCAAGCAAUUUAANGCAAUCAAGUAGACGCGGACGCUGGAGCUGUGGCUUGAGACUAAGUCUGAGCCUGGUCCUGAAGCGUACACUGUAUGUUCGAAGCAUUGUGAUCCUGAUUUGUAUGUUAGGUACAUGGUAAUAUUAUGCAAAAAUAGUGGAGAACAAGAAGAAGCAUACUGUCACUCACGUACCAUAAACAAACAUAUGUAUGCAUAGGUAAUCAUUAAACACGUAAAUGUGGACAAAUUUAACCAAAGAAUUGUAGAGAAAAUUAACAAUAAAAAACAACAACAAGUGCUAAAACAACAUGCAUGCAACAACACGCAUAAAUGCAGCAAAUAAUUUCGCAAAUUGCAACAACCGCAAAGAGUCGAACUUUGGCAGCGUGAAAUCCAGCAGCAACAACAACGCCUACAAACGUAUACCAACAGUAGAAACAGCAACAACAACAACGAAAACAAUAGCACUUUCCUAUUGCAACAACAAUACCAAUAAUAAUCUGCCGCUACAACAAACAGCCAGCAACGGGAAAGCCGCGGGCGAACCACAAAAACAACAACGACAGCGUUCACCAGCACCGGCUGAGACGGCGACAAGCCGAGAAUGUUGCAGCGUUGCAUGUAGCACGUUGACAACAAUGCGACUGGUGGGGGCCAAGGAGUCGGGCGCGGUGAUGGCGGGCAAUGNCGAGGAGGCGAGGACUAAAUUGAUGCCAGCAACGGCAACGGCAAUUAAAAUCGUUAGCGUCAGUAAUAGCAAGAGCAACAAUAGCAAUACUAAAGCGCAUAAGAACGUAAGCAGCAACAAUAAAAACAGCAACAACAACGUGGACAACAACAUCAACAAAUCAACAACGAAAUCGACAGGAACAACUGGUGCCAAAUUAGACUCAUCGAUGUUGAUUAAUGCUCGCAAUCAAUUGUCGACAACAACAACAAAACCUGAACGGCGACAACAACAAGAACAAAUGGGACAACAACAAGCUGAACACAUCUUGUCCAUAACAAGGGACCUCAAUCAAAUCAAUUUAAAAUCAUCACUUUUCGUCGAACAACAAGUAUACAAUAACAACAAUAACAACAACAAGCAGAAUUGUAGAGGCAACAAUCAGCAGGAGCAGCAGCAACAAAAUAGCUUGAGUACAAACCUCAGUAGCGGCAACAACAAUAGUAGUGGUAAUAACAAACACAGCAAUGUGGGUAAUAAUAAUAAUAAUAGGCAAAACCAACAACAACAAAUCGUAAAUUGCAACAACAACAGCAACAAUAAGAACUGUGAUCAAGCAAUUGACAAGAACAAAAACAGCAAAAACACGCACACGCUAGCGCACAACAACAGAAGAAUGAUGAAAAAUUACGAAAACAACAACAACAAUAAGGGGAGCAAUGAGCCACAGCCGCAACAACAGCAGCAACUGAUAACGCUAACAAUAGCAAAAGCUGUACAAACGGAAGCGAANGCGCUGGUCAGCGCGAAAAUAAGCAAAACAACGAAAGUAAACACAACUACAACAACAACNGCAACGCCGACAACGACANUUGAAAGAGCGAAAGCCAAGUCGACAAAGCUUACGCUACGCAAAUCAUUCUCCACACCAGCUUCAUUUAAGANUGCUGACGUUACAGCCGUGUUGAGCCAGAGCGGCGGCAACAUGAUGAUUGCCUACAACAACACCAACAAUAGCAGAGCAAGUGAGAGCUGUAACAAAAGCGUGAGUAANGCGUUGCCAACNUCGGAGCUAUUGAGUGGCAAGAAAAGUGAUAGUGGUGGUGAUGUUGUUGAUGAUGGUGGAGGUCAUGUACGCGGCGCUGCCACGUGCACAACCACGCAGCCAACGACGCAGUCUGCUGUGGCAGCGCCAAAUGUAAACUUUGCACCAUCGCCGGCAGUAAUCACGAAGGCGACACAGCGCGCUAAUGCUUCAAUUGAGGCAAUAACUACAAUAGCAAAAACAGCAAUGACAACAAAAACAAGUGCAACAACACCAAUAAGCGCAUCACCGCAGAUUGCCACAAUGGACGCCGUAACGCGUUCACAGACUGCCGCGCAUGCCGCGCAGCAACAAGAUCCACCACAACAGCGACAGCUGCAGCAACAACAACAACNACAGCAACAAUACCAGCAGUCAAGCACGAAAUCAGUAAAAUCGAAAGAUAAUGAUAAUCAAGUCAUUUGCGCCAACAAAAGUAUUUCGGAUGCUGGCAAUAUGGUUGUUGUUGCCGGCACGACAACCACCUCGUCGCCGNUGCCNCUGUCCCCCGUUAGCUUCGAUUUGGAUUUGCGCUUCGGUUGUGCGCAUUACAAGCGCCGCGCCAUGUUUGUGACACCCUGCUGUAAUAAAUUCUACAAAUGUCGUUUUUGUCAUGAUGAAAAUGAGUCGCAUCAUUUCGAUCGUAAAACAUUAACCGAAUUGAUUUGCUCCGAGUGCAAUACACGACAGAAAGUGCAGGAGCAAUGCGAGGCAUGUGGCAUGCGAUUUGGCAAAUACACCUGCCUCAUCUGCAAUCUAUUCGACGACACCGACAAGAAACAAUAUCACUGCAACGGUUGCGGCAUUUGUCGCAUUGGCGGCGCUGAGAACUUCUUUCAUUGCAAAGUGUGCGACAUGUGCCUGCCGAUUCGAUUGAAGAUCGAUGGACAUCGGUGCGUCGAGAAUAUUUCACGUUCGCAUUGUCCCGUUUGCUUGGGCGACAUACACACAUCACGUAUACCAUGUCACAUACCCGAUUGCGGUCAUCUACUACAUAAGACGUGCUUUGAUCAACUGCUCAACUCGGGACACUAUACAUGCCCCAUUUGUCAGACAUCGUUAAUUGAUAUGACUGCGCUAUGGGAGUACUUGGAUGCGCAAGCGGUGUCCCUGCCGGUACCAAAGAAAUAUGAGAAUCAACGUAUACAUAUUUUUUGCAACGACUGUCAUAAGACCUCAAAGACCAAAUUCAAUUUUAUCGGUUUGAAAUGUAUGCAAUGCGGCGCUUAUAAUACAACACAGGAUGUCAAGCGACAUGAACCUUCAUCAGCAUGACGCUGCACCUGCUUUCCCAAAACCUCAAAAAAUUUUCCAAGCCAAAUUGCAUCCCCUUUGGUUGGAGUCAACGUUAAACACUGGAACUCUUGCCAUUUUGAGAUUGUGCACUGCUACAGAGAUCGCCGCCGCCGCUGCGAAGGAAUGCUGUGAAGCGUGAAAUAACUGCAAUGCUGGUGCUACUAUGUAAAGUACAUAUGCACAUACAAGCAUGUUUAUACAUGUUUAUGCAUGUAUGUGUGGGUGUGUCAGGCGUUGGAUUAAUUGCAAUGCGGCAUUCGGCCAGAAUGUACGUAUGUAGAUGACUCGUCCGUUAAUUAGAGCUGACAUCGAAUACCUGAAUCGAAUUACAACGCAUCAUUUUUAAAAUACACUACUAAAUACAAUAAUAUAACAUUACAACGCA